AUUGAACGCUGGCGGCAGGCCUCACACAUGCAAGUCGAGCUAGCGGCGGACGGGUGAGUAAUGUAUGGGGAUCUGCCCGCUAGAGGGGGAUAACUACUGAAAACGGUGGCUAACACCUCAUACUAUCGUAUGACCCCAUAUGGGAGUAGCUAGGAGGUGGGGUAACGGCUCACCUAGGCGACGAUCUCUAGCUGGUCUGAGAGGAUGAUCAGCCACACUGAGACUGAGACACGGCCCAGACCCUUACGGGAGGCAGCAGUGGGCAAUAUGGCACAAUGGGAGCAAGCCUGAUGCAGCCAUGCCGCGUGUAUGAAGAAGGCCUUAGGGUUGUAAAGUACUUUCAGCGGGGAGGAGUUACCCGCAGAAGAAGCAACGGCUAACUCCGUGCCAGCAGCCGCGGUAAUAC
rnacentral:rRNA from 1 species